rnacentral:ncRNA from 1 species
UUAAGUGCUGCGAUCGACGGUCUCUCGUCAGAGAGCGAACAGGGAAUGCGGUGCGGAACGCAGGUUCCUAAUCCGCAGCUGCCCCCGCAACUGUAAGCGGAAAGCCCGUACCAAAGAGCCACUGGAGCAUCCGGGAAGGCGGUGACGGGCGGCGAACCGCGAGCCAGGAGACCUGCCGUCGAUGCGGUCGCCGCC